GAUGGGCCCGCGGCGCAUUAGCUAGUUGGUGGGGUAAAGGCUUACCAAGGCAAUGAUGCGUAGCCGAACUGAGAGGUUGAUCGGCCACAUUGGGACUGAGACACGGCCCAAACUCCUACGGGAGGCAGCAGUAGGGAAUCUUCCACAAUGGGCGAAAGCCUGAUGGAGCAACGCCGCGUGGGUGAAGAAGGUCUUCGGAUCGUAAAACCCUGUUGUUAGAGAAGAAAGUGCGUGAGAGUAACUGUUCACGUUUCGACGGUAUCUAACCAGAAAGCCACGGCUAACUACGUGCCAGCAGCCGCGGUAAUACGUAGGUGGCAAGCGUUAUCCGGAUUUAUUGGGCGUAAAGGGAACGCAGGCGGUCUUUUAAGUCUGAUGUGAAAGCCUUCGGCUUAACCGGAGUAGUGCAUUGGAAACUGGGAGACUUGAGUGCAGAAGAGGAGAGUGGAACUCCAUGUGUAGCGGUGAAAUGCGUAGAUAUAUGGAAGAACACCAGUGGCGAAAGCGGCUCUCUGGUCUGUAACUGACGCUGAGGUUCGAAAGCGUGGGUAGCAAACAGGAUUAGAUACCCUGGUAGUCCACGCCGUAAACGAUGAAUGCUAAGUGUUGGAGGGUUUCCGCCCUUCAGUGCU
rnacentral:rRNA from 1 species